rnacentral:ribozyme from 1 species
GACGACGGGAAGCUCGUGGUGGUGGUGCGCGAGAAGGGGGAGGGCUUCGUGGUGACCGAGAUCAUGAACGACGCGAUGAUUUCUUCCCGCAAAGGGUUCAACCUCCCCGACACUUUGGUGGAGUCGAG